rnacentral:rRNA from 1 species
GGUCAAGCGAACAAGUGCAUGUGGUGGAUGCCUUGGCGAUCACAGGCGAUGAAGGACGCGGUAGCCUGCGAAAAGCUCCGGGGAGCUGGCAAACAAGCUUUGAUCCGGAGAUGUCCGAAUGGGGAAACCCACUCCUAAUGGAGUAUCCGUAGCUGAAUCCAUAGGCUACGUGAAGCGAACGCGGUGAACUGAAACAUCUAAGUAACCGCAGGAAAAGAAAUCAACCGAGAUUCCCAAAGUAGUGGCGAGCGAAAUGGGAUCAGCCUGUACUCUUUAUUCUCAUUGUUAGUCGAACGCUCUGGAAAGUGCGGCCAUAGCAGGUGAUAGCCCUGUAGACGAAAACAGCGGGAAAGAACUGGGUGUACGAGAAGUAGGGCGGGACACGUGAAAUCCUGUCUGAAGAUGGGGGGACCAUCCUCCAAGGCUAAAUACUCGUGAUCGACCGAUAGUGAACCAGUACCGUGAGGGAAAGGCGAAAAGAACCCCGGGAGGGGAGUGAAACAGAUCCUGAAACCGCAUGCAUACAAACAGUCGGAGCCUCGCAAGGGGUGACGGCGUACCUUUUGUAUAAUGGGUCAGCGACUUACAUUCAGUGGCGAGCUUAACCGAUUAGGGCAGGCGUAGCGAAAGCGAGUCCGAACAGGGCGUCCAGUCGCUGGGUGUAGACCCGAAACCAGGUGAUCUAUCCAUGGCCAGGUUGAAGGCACGGUAACACGUGCUGGAGGACCGAACCCACUAACGUUGAAAAGUUAGGGGAUGAGCUGUGGAUAGGGGUGAAAGGCUAAACAAACCUGGAAAUAGCUGGUUCUCUCCGAAAACUAUUUAGGUAGUGCCUCGUGUAUCACCUUCGGGGGUAGAGCACUGUCAUGGUUGUGGGGUCCAUUGCGGAUUACUUCGCCAUAGCAAACUCCGAAUACCGAAGAGUGCAAUCACGGGAGACAGACAUCGGGUGCUAACGUCCGGUGUCAAGAGGGAAACAACCCAGACCGCCAGCUAAGGUCCCCAAAUAUGGCUAAGUGGGAAACGAAGUGGGAAGGCUAAAACAGUCAGGAGGUUGGCUUAGAAGCAGCCACCCUUUAAAGAAAGCGUAAUAGCUCACUGAUCGAGUCGUCCUGCGCGGAAGAUGUAACGGGGCUAAGCCAUAUACCGAAGCUGCGGAUGCAUAUUUAUAUGCAUGGUAGGAGAGCGUUCCGUAAGCCUGCGAAGGUGCACUGGAAAGUGUGCUGGAGGUAUCGGAAGUGCGAAUGCUGACAUGAGUAGCGAUAAAGGGGGUGAAAGGCCCCCUCGCCGUAAGCCCAAGGUUUCCUACGCAACGUUCAUCGGCGUAGGGUGAGUCGGCCCCUAAGGCGAGGCAGAAAUGCGUAGCUGAUGGGAAGCAGAUUAAUAUUUCUGCACCAUUGUGAAAUGCGAUGGGGGGACGGAUCGCGGAAGGUUGUCCGGGUGUUGGAAGUCCCGGUCGCUGCAUUGGAGAANNNNNNNNNNNNNNNNNNNNNNNNNNNNNNNNNNNNNNNNNNNNNNNNNNNNNNNNNNNNNNNNNNNNNNNNNNNNNNNNNNNNNNNNNNNNNNNNNNUUCAAGGGUGUGGCGCGAGCUUCUUCGGAAGCGAAGCAACUGGAAGGGGUUCCAGGAAAAGCCUCUAAGCUUCAGUUUCACAGUGACCGUACCGCAAACCGACACAGGUGGGCGAGAUGAGUAUUCUAAGGCGCUUGAGAGAACUCGGGAGAAGGAACUCGGCAAAUUGGUACCGUAACUUCGGGAUAAGGUACGCCCUGGUAGCUUGACUGGCCUGCGCCAGAAGGGUGAAGGGGUUGCAAUAAACUGGUGGCUGCGACUGUUUAAUAAAAACACAGCACUCUGCAAACACGAAAGUGGACGUAUAGGGUGUGACGCCUGCCCGGUGCCGGAAGAUUAAAUGAUGGGGUGCAAGCUCCUGAUUGAAGUCCCGGUAAACGGCGGCCGUAACUAUAACGGUCCUAAGGUAGCGAAAUUCCUUGUCGGGUAAGUUCCGACCUGCACGAAUGGCGUAACGAUGGCCACACUGUCUCCUCCCGAGACUCAGCGAAGUUGAAGUGUUUGUGAUGAUGCAAUCUCCCCGCGGCUAGACGGAAAGACCCCAUGAACCUUUACUGUAGCUUUGCAUUGGACUUUGAACCGGUCUGUGUAGGAUAGGUGGGAGGCUAUGAAGCGUGAACGCCAGUUUGCGUGGAGCCGUCCUUGAAAUACCACCCUGAUCUGUUUGAGGUUCUAACCUUGGUCCGUGAUCCGGAUCGGGGACAGUGCAUGGUAGGCAGUUUGACUGGGGCGGUCUCCUCCCAAAGUGUAACGGAGGAGUACGAAGGUACGCUAGGUACGGUCGGAAAUCGUGCUGAUAGUGCAAUGGCAUAAGCGUGCUUGACUGUGAGACUGACAAGUCGAACAGGUGCGAAAGCAGGUCAUAGUGAUCCGGUGGUUCUGUAUGGAAGGGCCAUCGCUCAACGGAUAAAAGGUACUCUGGGGAUAACAGGCUGAUACCGCCCAAGAGUUCAUAUCGACGGCGGUGUUUGGCACCUCGAUGUCGGCUCAUCUCAUCCUGGGGCUGUAGCCGGUCCCAAGGGUAUGGCUGUUCGCCAUUUAAAGAGGUACGUGAGCUGGGUUUAAAACGUCGUGAGACAGUUUGGUCCCUAUCUGCCGUGGGCGCUGGAUAUUUGAAGGGGGCUGCUCCUAGUACGAGAGGACCGGAGUGGACGAACCUCUGGUGUACCGGUUGUCACGCCAGUGGCAUCGCCGGGUAGCUAUGUUCGGAAGAGAUAACCGCUGAAAGCAUCUAAGCGGGAAACUCGCCUUAAGAUGAGAUAUCCCCGGGGCUUCGAGCCCCUUGAAGGGUCGUUCAAGACCAGGACGUUGAUAGGUCAGGUGUGCACGUACAGUAAUGUACUGAGCUAACUGAUACUAAUUGCCCGUAAGGCUUGAUCCU